rnacentral:lncRNA from 1 species
CAUGAACCCCAAAGUACUUUCUGCCAUGCAUGUAUUCUUCAGAGUAUCUUGGUAAUAUUCUACAGAAAGAGAGAUGCUGGAAGAUCUACCGUAGGUUACUAUGCAGCGGUUGGGCUGAGAGAAUUUGAGAAAGUCAGAAAGCGCAGAUGACUUAAGACUGGAGAAUCUUUGAGCAAGAUCAAAUUGAAGGCGUUGAAUUGAGAGAAGGAAGAUUAAAGAUGAAAUCAAGGGUGUGACUUAAAACCAUUCGUGAAGACCUCAGAAGAAACAAAGAUGGUGCCUCAGAAUACGAUUCAGUCACAUAGGAGCGCUUUAAAUAAAUUAAGGGUGUGCUCACAGAUUUUUUUAAACAAGCUGCCUCUAGGAAGCUUAAGGAAUAUUGCCUCAUAUUCUCUCAGCAAGGGCCCAAGGUAGAGAAGAGAUUAGGGGUGUGACUUCUGCCUAAUGGAGUGAACCCCCAGAAGCAUCACAGGUGACACCCACAGUUUUUAAAGGAGGUAUAUAUGCAGAAAUACCACUAGUUUGGGCUGAGAGAGUCAGAGAACAAUGAGAACAGAGGCCUUUGGACACGGAGAAUUCUGUCAAGAAGCAGGCUGCAUUAGCUGUUCAGUUGCAAACCCAUUCUGCUUUUAAUAGAAAAAAAAAAAAAAGAAGAAGGAUAAUUGGAGGACAAAACAAAGCCCCAAGGGCAGAGCCAAGAACCAUGGAGAAUUACUCUUAGGCCUCGAGACUUAAUAAAUAAACUCCUGAUAUUUGCUUGGAUGGCCUUCAGAAUGCUGUGUACCAAUGACUCCAUGUGCCUCCUAUUUGCCUUCUUUUGAAUAGAAAUGUCAAUAAAGGUUAUACUACACUUGUCCCACCACUGUGUGUUGAGCAUGUGGGAGAGGUAACUUGUCUCUUUAGUUUCACAGGUUAAGAAGAAGAAAUGUACUCAAAGAGCUGUACUUAAGGAAUUAAAACUGAGGAGCCCCAACUGCACCUGGACCUGAUUUAGAUGACAAGAUUUUGGAUAUUGAGCUCACACUGCAAUGGGAUGAGACUUUGCAAUCCUUGGAGGGAAAGAGCAAGGAACAAACAAGAAGAAAAUCAAGGGGAAAGCAAGAAAAAAACGAAAGCCAAUGGAGUAUGAAGAAGACUACGUGCAAAUAAAAAGACUGCUGUUCAGAGAGGUAAAGCCAUUUGCCCAAGGUCACACACCUGGGAACUAAAGUCUAUUUGAGUCUGAAGUUAUCCCCAGCAAGUGAUGCCUGCACCCAGAACCAGCCAGGCCUUGACAUCAGAUGCUGGCCCCAGGAGGAAAUGUUGAGAGAUUGUGACAAAGGGAUUACAGGCAGAGAGAAAUGCUUUUGGCCUUUAGAGGAAGAGCCGUGUGAAGGAAAAUUAAUGAUAGGCUGCCUACAGUCCAUGAAUUCCCAGGUCAUUUUCCUUGGGUCUACCCAGCGCACGGCCUGGGAGUACCCUGUUCAGGCAGUAUUUGGACCCCCAGCAACCACUUCGACCCUUCCAUUCUCCAUACGAGAGCCAAAAAGAUCUUUCCAAAAGGACCACCCUGACUGGACUUAAGAAGCUGAGAGAAUGGAGAGCUGAUGUAUGGCUGCAAUUAGAAAGUUUCAAAACUAUUGCUUUAAAACACCAGAGAACCAGUGCCUAUUUGGAAAAGUAAUAUGGGCACACAAGGAAGAAAGCAAUGCAGUGACAUAUGUCAACAAGGCUACUGAACGAUGAUAGCUAUGCCAGAGAAAAGCAUUACAUAAUGACAUCAAAAUAGGACACUUGAGGAAUGUCUUAGAGCUAAAACAGCUGUCACCUGGUAUUUUGGCAUUAUUGAAGAACAUGAAGAGAUAGUCCCUGGAAACUGGAGAGUACAGCUUAUUUGCAACAACAAUUUUCAGAGGUCAAGAACAUGUUUUCCUCAUUUUUUAAA